CCUAUCAACUUUUGAUGUUACUUUCUGCACCUACCAUGGUGACCACGGGUAACGUGGGAAUCAGGGUUCGAUUCCA